rnacentral:lncRNA from 1 species
UUUUUUUUUUUUUUUCAAUACGAAAAAGAAGCUGAGUUGGAUGCAAAGCAAAUUGGAGCAUGUAAUCUUUGAUAUCUUUUGUUUAUUCAUUAAGAAUUAUUUUGUUAUGAAAUGCAUCCCUGUUAGUCAUGCUUGUUGGUUCAUUUUUUUGUCCAAGUUCAGUUUGAAUAAAGCAUUUGACCAGUCAGAUUUGAGUUACUUGUUCAAUUUAUAAUUGUUUGGUAGCAGC